rnacentral:rRNA from 1 species
AUUGAACGCUGGCGGCAGGCCUAACACAUGCAAGUCGAGCGGAUGAAGGGAGCUUGCUCCUGGAUUCAGCGGCGGACGGGUGAGUAAUGCCUAGGAAUCUGCCUGGUAGUGGGGGAUAACGUCCGGAAACGGGCGCUAAUACCGCAUACGUCCUGAGGGAGAAAGUGGGGGAUCUUCGGACCUCACGCUAUCAGAUGAGCCUAGGUCGGAUUAGCUAGUUGGUGGGGUAAAGGCCUACCAAGGCGACGAUCCGUAACUGGUCUGAGAGGAUGAUCAGUCACACUGGAAGUGAGACAGGGUCGAGACUCCUACGGGAGGCAGCAGUGGGGAAUAUUGGACGAUGGGCGAAAGCCUGAUACAGCAAUGCCGCGUGUGUGAAGAAGGUCUUCGGAUUGUAAAGCACUUUAAGUUGGGAGGAAGGGCAGUAAGUUAAUACCUUGCUGUUUUGACGUUACCAACAGAAUAAGCACCGGCUAACUUCGUG